GACGAACGCUGGCGGCGUGCUUAACACAUGCAAGUCGAACGGAAAGGCCCUGCUUUUGUGGGGUGCUCGAGUGGCGAACGGGUGAGUAACACGUGAGUAACCUGCCCUUGACUUUGGGAUAACUUCAGGAAACUGGGGCUAAUACCGGAUAGGAGCUCCUGCUGCAUGGUGGGGGUUGGAAAGUUUCGGCGGUUGGGGAUGGACUCGCGGCUUAUCAGCUUGUUGGUGGGGUAGUGGCUUACCAAGGCUUUGACGGGUAGCCGGCCUGAGAGGGUGACCGGCCACAAUGGUACUGAGAUACGGCCCAGACUCCUACGGGAGGCAGCAGUGGGGAAUAUUGCACAAUGGGCGGAAGCCUGAUGCAGCAACGCCGCGUGCGGGAUGACGGCCUUCGGGUUGUAAACCGCUUUCGCCUGUGACGAAGCGUGAGUGACGGUAAUGGGUAAAGAAGCACCGGCUAACUACGUG
rnacentral:rRNA from 1 species